rnacentral:misc_RNA from 1 species
CAGGCCUCCCUCUGCUUGGUUCCAGUCGUGGGCAUGAGUGAGGGGCGAUGCUUGAUGGCUUUGAUGCCAUCGGUGGGAAUGUGUUUAAGCAUCGGCCUUCCCUCAUGCCCACGAUGGUCUACAGUCUUGUGUACGAGUCAGUGACGACGCUUGUUUGUUUUGAUGCUUGCGUUGGAACUUGCUUAAGCAACCGACCUGACGAAGUACCCAUGAAUGUCUCUCAUGAUGGUCUACAGUCUUGCGUACGAGUUAGUGACGACGCUUGUUUGUUUUGAUGCUUGCGUUGGAACUUGCUUAAGCAACCGACCUGACGAAGUACCCAUGAAUGUCGCCCAUGAUGGUCUACAGUCUUGGGUAUGAGUCAGUGACGAUGCUUGUUUGUUUUGAUGCUUGCGUUGGAACUUGCUUAAGCAACCGACCUGACGAAGUACCCAUGAAUGUCGCCCAUGAUGGUCUACAGUCUUGGUUAUGAUUCAGUGACGAUGCUUGUUUGUUUUGAUGCUUGCGUUGGAACUUGCUUAAGCAACUGAUCUGACGAAGUACCCAUGAAUGUCGCCCAUGAUGGUCUACAGUCUUGGGUAUGAUUUAGUGACGAUGCUUGUUUGUUUUGAUGCUUGCGUUGGAACUUGCCAAUGGCUUUUGCCAGGAUCAUGGCGUUUGCUAUGAUCGAAAAACUGAGGGGGUGAUGUUUAGAGCUGGAAGGCAAGGGGGUGCAAACACCAGUCGGCCUUUGUCCCGAUUGCUGAGUGUUAUGUGCUUGAUGUCCAAGGCUUGAAGCUGACCCUCCAAGUGGGAGCUUUUUUGUUCCUGCGGUAACGACUCUGUUGGGAUCAUUGUGAUCAAGUUUGGUUGGUUUCGUAUUGUGGUGGGUUUUUUCGAAGCUUCUAUCGUUCUUUUACGCAUCGUGCGGUGCAUCUUGGGGGCUGUUUUGGCUUUUGGUUGCUUGCUUGGGCUUUAUGCUAGGCGGGUGGCUAAU